UACGGAGGGUGCAAGCGUUAUCCGGAUUCACUGGGUUUAAAGGGUGCGUAGGUGGGUUGGUAAGUCAGUGGUGAAAUCCCCGAGCUUAACUUGGGAACUGCCAUUGAUACUAUCAGUCUUGAAUAUUGUGGAGGUUAGCGGAAUAUGCCAUGUAGCGGUGAAAUGCUUAGAUAUGACAUAGAACACCAAUUGCGAAGGCAGCUGGCUACGCAUAUAUUGACACUGAGGCACGAAAGCGUGGGGAUCAAACAGG
rnacentral:rRNA from 1 species